AACCAUGCAGUCGAGCGGUAGCACAGAGAGCUUGCUCUCGGGUGACGAGCGGCGGACGGGUGAGUAAUGUCUGGGAAACUGCCUGAUGGAGGGGGAUAACUACUGGAAACGGUAGCUAAUACCGCAUAAYGUCGCAAGACCAAAGUGGGGGACCUUCGGGCCUCAUGCCAUCAGAUGUGCCCAGAUGGGAUUAGCUAGUAGGUGGGGUAACGGCUCACCUAGGCGACGAUCCCUAGCUGGUCUGAGAGGAUGACCAGCCACACUGGAACUGAGACACGGUCCAGACUCCUACGGGAGGCAGCAGUGGGGAAUAUUGCACAAUGGGCGCAAGCCUGAUGCAGCCAUGCCGCGUGUGUGAAGAAGGCCUUCGGGUUGUAAAGCACUUUCAGCGGGGAGGAAGGCGYUAAGGUUAAUAACCUUGGCGAUUGACGUUACCCGCAGAAGAAGCACCGGCUAACUCCGUGCCAGCAGCCGCGGUAAUACGGAGGGUGCAAGCGUUAAUCGGAAUUACUGGGCGUAAAGCGCACGCAGGCGGUCUGUCAAGUCGGAUGUGAAAUCCCCGGGCUCAACCUGGGAACUGCAUUCGAAACUGGCAGGCUAGAGUCUUGUAGAGGGGGGUAGAAUUCCAGGUGUAGCGGUGAAAUGCGUAGAGAUCUGGAGGAAUACCGGUGGCGAAGGCGGCCCCCUGGACAAAGACUGACGCUCAGGUGCGAAAGCGUGGGGAGCAAACAGGAUUAGAUACCCUGGUAGUCCACGCCGUAAACGAUGUCGAUUUGGAGGUUGUGCCCUUGAGGCGUGGCUUCCGGAGCUAACGCGUUAAAUCGACCGCCUGGGGAGUACGGCCGCAAGGUUAAAACUCAAAUGAAUUGACGGGGGCCCGCACAAGCGGUGGAGCAUGUGGUUUAAUUCGAUGCAACGCGAAGAACCUUACCUGGUCUUGACAUCCACAGAACUUUCCAGAGAUGGAUUGGUGCCUUCGGGAACUGUGAGACAGUGCUGCAUGGCUGUC
rnacentral:rRNA from 1 species